rnacentral:misc_RNA from 1 species
AAAUGGGAUAAUUAAUGUGAAUUGCAGAAUUCAGUGAAUCAUCGAGUCUUUGAACGCACAUUGCGCCCCCUGGUAUUCCGGGGGGCAUGCCUGUCCGAGCGUCAUUGCUGCCCUCAAGCACGGCUUGUGUGUUGGGCUUCCGUCCCUGGCAACGGGGACGGGCCCAAAAGGCAGUGGCGGCACCAUGUCUGGUCCUCGAGCGUAUGGGGCUUUGUCACCCGCUCCCGUAGGUCCAGCUGGCAGCUAGCCUCGCAACCAAUCUUUUUAACCAGGUUGACCUCGGAUCAGGUAGGGAUACCCGCUGAACUUAAGC